rnacentral:ncRNA from 1 species
UAUCAGGUUUUCAAGAAAACAAACGCUUGAAUUAAAAGGGAACCAGGUGUGAAUCCUGGGCAGUACCCGCUGCUGUAAGCCCCGCACCUAUGCGGAAAAGCCUCCCACAAAAGCCACUGGCUCGCUCACCGAGCCGGGAAGGCGUGGGCAACACAAGGCUUGGGGCGAGCCAGAAGACCUGCCUGAUGG